rnacentral:lncRNA from 1 species
UAUGGGCUAUUUAUGUGAUGCUGUAGUAUUUAUGGGAUGCUGUAUUUAUGGGCUAUUUAUGUGAUGCUGUAUUUAUGGGAUAUUUAUGGGAUGCUGUAUUUAUGGGCUGUUUAUGGGCUGUUUAUGGGAUGCUGUAUUUCUGGGCUGUUUAUGGGAUGCUGUACUUAUGGGAUAUUUCUGUGAUGCUGUAUUUCUGUGAUGUCUGUGGGCUGUUUAUGGGAUGUUUACGGGAUGCUGUAUUUAUGGGCUGUUUAUGGGAUGCUGUAUUUCUGGGAUAUUUCUGGGCUGUUUAUGGGAUGUUUGUGGGAUGUUUAUGGGAUAUUUAUGGGAUGCUGUAUUUCUGGGCUGUUUCUGUGAUGCUGUAUUUGUGUGAUGUCCGUGGCCGUGCGGCGCAGGUCGCUGUGCCGGCAGGAGGCGCUGUGCUCCCAUUACUUCAGUCUGGACGCCGACGCGGCGCUGAGCAACGAGGGAACCCUGCUGGCGCUGCUCCGCCAGAACCGCCCGGUUCUGGCCCCCCUGCUGUCCCGCCCUGGAAAGCUGUGGUCCAACUUCUGGGGCGCCCUGGGCCCCGAUGGUUUCUACGCGCGCUCCGAGGAUUACGUGGACAUCGUGCAGGGCCGCCGCAGGUCAGGUGACCCCCCGCCUCAUUUGCAUAACGACGCCCCCUCAUUUGCAUAACAACAACACCCGCGCCGAUAGGCCGCGCCGUUGCAGACCCCGCCCCCUUCACGUAGCCCCGCCCACCGCAGUGCUCCUCAUUGCCACGCCCACCUAAAAGGCCACGCCCCAUUCAUUAGGCCACGCCCCCUCGGUUGGCCCCACCCCCUUAAUUAAGCCACGCCCCCUGUUAGACACCCCUGGUAAAGCCCCUGGUCAAGCCACGCCCCCUUUUGUAAAGGCCACGCCCCCUUGGUUAGGCCACGUCCCUUUGCAUAACACCUACAAAGCCUACUUAGGCCACGCCCCUUUCCAACAGGCCACGCCCCUUCUCUUUAGCUCCGCCCACACGUAAGACCCACCCAAUCAGAAGCCGCGCCUCACCCANNNNNNNNNNNNNNNNNNNNNNNNNNNNNNNNNNNNNGGGCCUGUGGGCAGUGGGCGUGGCUAGGGGGAUAUGGAGGAAAAUGGGCGUGGCCUAGGAGCACUUUGGGGCGGAGCCAGCGAUUGAGGGCGUGGCCAAAUUGAGGCGGCCUAUAAGGGGGCGUGAGCAGCAACGAUUGAUGUGAGGGGGCGGGAUGAGUGUGAUAAGGGGGCGUGGCCAGGGGAGGAGCUAUAGGGUGAAA